rnacentral:lncRNA from 1 species
UUCAUCCCUCAAUUUUCAUAUUUCAUAAGUACUAAGCUUUGAAACAAAAAUAAAAGAAUUAAGAAGAAUGGGUUCCAAGGCAAUUAUGUUUCUUGGUCUUUUUUUGGCUAUUUUCUUAAUGAUAAGCUCUGAGGUUGCAGCUAGGGAGUUGGCAGCUGAGACUUCCAAUGGUAAGCAUUUCUUUUCAUUUGUUCCCUCUCUUAGGGUAUGUUCGAUAAAAAAAAAUAUUUUUCAUGAAAAAUAUUUUGUAAGAAAAUAUAAGUGACUUCUUUAUUUACUUUUUUGUGUUCAAUAUCGUGAUAUAAUCUAGACAGAUAUAUAAUUGGUGGGGUUGGAUGGUGACGGUGGGAUGAAGAUGGGGCGAAGAUAAAUAUGUUUGAUCAUAAAAUUUGUCUACUUUUUGAAAAUUAUUUGAAACAAAAUCCCAAAAUUUCAAUCACUAAUGCUGUAGUUUGAUCAUGACACUUAAUAUAUAUUCUUUUUGUUUCAUGUUAUACGUCUCAAUUACUAUGCAUAAAGUAUAAGAAUAUACCAUAAACUUCCCAAACUUUGCUAAACUAAACUAAAGGUAUGUAAAUUAUAUUAUAAAUGCCCUAUGAGUUUUGUGAUCUUAUGUUACAUUGAAAUUAAAAAAAUUACAAUUAAAUAUAUAUAGGAAGAGGAGUACUCAUUUUGAAAUAUAAUAAAAAGGAAAGUACGACAUAUAAAUUGAAGUGCAAUUCAAAGACUAGUAAUGACUCAUCGUACGUGUUAGCUAGUUUAAUUAAUCUUCACAAUUCAUCGAUGCAGCGGUAAACGUUGAUGGACAUUAUUAUGGAGGCGGCUAUGGUAAGGGCCAUGGAAAACCUAAGAAAUGUUAUAGUUGCUGCAAGAAAUACAAAUAUGGAUGCAAAAAAUACUGCUGCUCUUAUGAAGAAUAUGUGGCUGCCCAGACUCACAACUAAAUAAUUAAUUAUUAUUGUAAACUUUUGAAAUUAAGUGACAAGAUACUAAUAAUCUUGCUACUUAAGACCCUUUGCUUGUAACAAGUAUGAAUAAAGCCAUUCAUUUACAAUGAAUGGUUGGUCAUGAUGUAAUGUUUUGUUGUACAAUAUAUCAUAUUGUGUUAAAAAUGUUUCCCUAAUGUUAAGAUUUUCUUCUUAUUUUUACUUAAGUAUUCUAUCAUCCCUUAAUCAUAUGUUUCAAGAUUGAAUCCUGGUCCGAAUAUAGAAUUGUCUUUGUUACAUAGUAUUUUACUCUAUUUGAAUUUUUUACCGUGAAUCCAAUUUAUUUAAGGCAUCUCUAAUUAAGGAUAUUGAACAUUGAGGGGAAAUUUUAAAAUAUUUAAUUUUCUUGUUAUUUAAUAAAGUAAGGAAAACAAUGCAGAAAAAAAGAAACAAUUUGUUCUUUUCUUUGUAUAAUAUUUAAAAAAAUAUAAUCACAGAAGAAAUAAAAUUAAAGCAUGGGGGACAAACGACUAAUAAUGUCAAAUCAUCACUUAUUUUUUUAUUUCUAAUGAACACUUUAGUCAGGGCUGAAAUCGAAAUUUUAUGAAAACAUCACAACAUAUAAACAAAAAUGAACACAUGAGUAAAUUUUAAUGAUUCAAUAUAUGAUACAAUGUAGUAGCUUUUUUCGACGAAGGAGAGUCAAUUAACAAUAUUAGAUAAGGAUGGUUACAUCAUUAAUAUUCACGAUCACCAUUAAGGGCGUAUUUACCUUAAGCUCGCAAUAUAUAUAUGCAACGUCAACCAAAUAACUCACAUUAGGGGUGUACAAAAAUGAACCGAAAACCGAAUUAAACCGCAAAUCGAGAAAAAAAAAUCCGACUAGUGGUUGGUUUGACUUGGUUUGGUAUUGAAAAAAAAACCCAACUAUAUUUGGGUUGGUUUGGUUUUAACUAAAAAAAACCAACCCGAGACCAAACCAACACGUCAUUAUAUAUAUAAUUUUAAAAUUUAUUUUAUAUUUUAUACAUAAAAAUAUUUACUUUGAAAUAAUUUUUAAAUCUUUCUUAUACUUUUUCAUAGUUUUUAUCUUUUAAUAUAUUAUUNNNNNNNNNNNNNNNNNNNNNNNNNNNNNNNNNNNNNNNNNNNNNNNNNNNNNNNNNNNNNNNNNNNNNNNNNNNNNNNNNNNNNNNNNNNNNNNNNNNNNNNNNNNNNNNNNNNNNNNNNNNNNNNNNNNNNNNNNNNNNNNNNNNNNNNNNNNNNNNNNNNNNNNNNNNNNNNNNNNNNNNNNNNNNNNNNNNNNNNNNNNNNNNNNNNNNNNNNNNNNNNNNNNNNNNNNNNNNNNNNNNNNNNNNNNNNNNNNNNNNNNNNNNNNNNNNNNNNNNNNNNNNNNNNNGAAAACAAAAAUACAGAAUGAUUAUUAUGAAAAAAAUAAGUGAACAAAUGGGGUUCUUUUGUAUAUUUUAUUUUUUGUUAUUGCUGAAUUUGCCGAACUUUUACAGCUUGUUUGAGUACUUGUUACCUAUAUAGUUGUAUUUUGGUGGCGAAAUGGUCUAAUAGACCCCUGUACUUGUAUGAGUUUGUAUUGUGAACCCUUCUACUUAACUCUUUAUCAAUUGAACCCUUAAACUUAUAAAACACAAUUUAUCAAACCCCUCUGACCAUUGACUAGGCUUAUGUGGCAUCAAUAUGGUUGAGUUGGCAAGAGUGUGUGAAUUCACUCUCGUUAAGGCGAGUGAUAUCCUAUUUAAGUUUUAAAAAAUAUUAAAAAAUUAAAAAAAAAUAAAACAAUAAAACAAAAAAACUUUAAAAAAAAUAACUAAAAAAGGCUUUCUUCUUCCGCCAACAGGUUCACAUCCAUUUUUGGCCAUCUCCAUCCCUGUCCAAUCCAUUUUUCUUUCUUCUUCACACUCUUGUCAUCUUCUUUAGCAGAUCUUCGCAUUGGCACCUAGAGAGAGACGACGCAGGUCAGUGGAAGAAGAACGAGGCGGUUGAGGGUAGGAUCUGGUCACGACAGCGAAGAGGUUUUUCGGUCAGAUCUGGUGGCCAUGGUGCGACGGAGAUGAAGACGGGUGAGGAAGAGGGCACGUAUGGUCGCCGGCAAGAGUUGCGACGACGACUGAGACGGCGGCGAGGAGCCUCCUAGAAUAUUUGUAUGCCGGAGACAGUAAGGGGUUUCUUGGCCUUCUGAUACUCCGGAGAGGAUGAAGAGCAUAUCGGUCGGUGAUGGUGAGGGGAGAGAAGCUAGUGCGGUGGCUUAGGGUUUCUAGAUUUGUGGAGGUUAGAGAAGGAGAAAAGAAAAUGGUAAGGGUGUGCGAUGAAGAUGGAGGUUGGUGGGGAGAUCGUAUUUGUGGUCUCGCCGGCAAGAGGAGCGGCAACAGCAGCGACUUUUUCCGACAGUUGGGCCAUUUCACGGUGAAAAUGGAAGAUGAUGUGAGGAGACCCAAACUUUUAAUUUAAAAUAAUAAAUUAAAAUUUAAUUUGUCAAAAUUACAUCAAAACUUUAUGAUUUUUCUUUUGUUAAAAAAGAAAUUAUUAUAUAAAAAAAAAAUGAUGUGGCAAAUUUUAUCUGACAUAGCGUAUGACAUUAGCGUGAUUGAGAAUCACGAUGAGUUGAAAGGGUUCAAUAGGUUGAGUUUAGAUGGGUUCAGGGGUCCAUAUGACAAAGAGGUAAGUAGAAGAAUUCACAAUACAAACGCAUACAAGUACAAGGGUCCACCAGAUCAUUUUGCCUAUUUUGGUAGGACUAAAGAAAUAUUUGAAGUACAAGUAAAUUAUAUGUUCGUAUGAAUACUUUACCGGAAAAACCCGAAAAAUCCGAGGUUGAAAAACCCGAGUUUUAUUGAUUUGGUUUGGUUUAUAGAUUUAAAAAUUCAACACAAAUGGUUGGAUUUGAUAAUUGAAAAAUCCGAACCAACCCGGUCAUGUACACCCCUAACUCACAUGAUUAUGAAUCAAGGAAAAGAAUAAAUAAUUUUCGUCAUGUUGUGCAAAAAUAUAUAUUUCUAAUCUUAUUAAUAUUAGGUUAGGGGGAAACCUUUUUUGGGUUAUUUAUUAUUUCUAUCUAUAUUUUGUGUAUAUAUAUAAAAAAAAAAUUGCAUAAUAUAUAAACGUAUCCUUUAAUUUGGUCUCAACUGACAUCUAGCCCUCCAACUUUGGAUGUGCACAAGUAGGGACUUAAACUUGUAUAGAGUUGAACAAGUAGACACACUAGUCCUACGUGACAUAAUACGCAUAGGACACCAUGUACGACACAAAUUAUCAUGUAGGACAUGUAUAUCUACUUGUUCUAUUAUAUAUAAACUUAAGUGUUUACCAUUAGUACACAUCCAAAAUUAAAGGUUAUAAAUAUCGAUUAAGGUCAAAAUAAAAUAAUAUUUUCAUGUAUUAUACUUGUUUUUUUAGAAGACUUUUCUUGAGUUAUAAAGCAAUAAAGAGAGUUGGCCCCUCUUAUUUAACUUGAUACGUUGUACAUUAAAAGAGUCAUUAAAUACGUCAUUUAAAGUCUUUGAGUAUUGACCAAAUCCAAGAGUAUAUAUACACCACUAUUUCUAGAUAUUUUAGGAUAAGGUAGUCCUACAAGUUAGCAUAUUUUAAAUUACUUUUUUGCAUAACUAUCCAAAAAUAUACUAUUAACACGACGAUUUAUUAUCGAAAUAUAUAAUACCCAUCACAUGCAUAUUAUUUUUUAAAGUUAUUUUAAUGUUUGAUUUUCUACUAAGUAUUAAUCUUUGUUUUUAGUUUGUUUUGUCGGAUGGUGUACGUAAGCCACUUGGUCAUAUUGAUGUGAUAUAUUUACAAAUAUUUUUUCGAAAAAAUAAGUAAAUUUUUAUCUAUUCUUAUGUUUUUUUAUAGGGAAAAAGUCUGAAAUAUAUUCGAACUUUAGCCAUUCUACUUAAUUUUACUAAUGGUGUUAUAGUAUUAACGUAUGUACUUGUGCCUUUCUACUUUUACUAAUGGUGUUUUGAUUAUUUUUAACUUUUAAUUUGAUUAUUUUGAAUAUUUAAGAUUUGUAAAAUACAAACAGAUACAAUUUAUAAAUAUUAUGUUUUUUUCAUCUUAACAAAAUAUUACUUACGACUCCACCAUAAAAUCAACACUCUAUUUAUCUACCACUUGUAGAGCAAGUUGUUCAUUUCUUUGGUCCAUACAUAAUUGCAAUCCGUAUAUGUAUCCCCUCACACCUCUAAUUAUUUAUGCAUUCAAAUCUUAUUAUAAAUAGAGCCCAAAAAUGCAUUAGUUUCUUCAUCCCUCAAUUUUCAUAUUUCAUAAGUACUAAGUUUUGAACAAAAGAAAAAUUAAAAAGAAUGGGUUCCAAGGCAAUUAUGUUUCUUGGUCUUUUUUUGGCUAUUUUCUUAAUGAUAAGCUCUGAGGUUGCAGCUAGGGAGUUGGCAGCUGAGACUUCCAAUGGUAAGCAUUUCUUUUCAUUUGUUCCCUCUCUUAGGGUGUGUUCGAUAAAAAAAAAAUGUUUUCAUGAAAAAUAUUUUGUAAGAAAAUAUAAGUGACUUCUUUAUUUACUUUGUUGUGUUUAAUAUUGUGAUAUAAUCUAGAUAAAUAUAUAAUUGGUGGGGUUGGAUGAUGACGGUGGGAUGAGGAUGGGGGAAGAUAAAUAUGUUUGAUCAUAAAAUUUGUCUACUUUUUGAAAAUUAUUGGAAACGAAAUCCCAAAAUUUCAAUUAAUAAUGCUAUAGUUUGAUCAUGACACUAAAUAUACAUUCCUUUUGUUUCAUUUUAUAUGUCUCAAUUACUAUGCAUAAAGUUUAAGAAUAUACCAUAAACUUUCCAAUCUUUGCUAAACUAAACUAAAGGCGUGUAAAUUAUAUUAUAAAUGUCCUAUGAAUUUUGUGAUCUUAUGUUACAUUGGAAUUAAAAAAAUUAAUUACAAUUAAAUAUAUAUAGUUAAUGGAGUACUCAUUUUGAAAUAUAAUAAAAAGGAAAGUACGACAUAUAAAUUGAAGCUCAAUUCAGAGACUAGUCAUAACUCAUCGUACGUGUUAGCUAGUUUAAUUAAUCUUCACAAUUCAUCGAUGCAGCGGUAAACGUUGAUGGACAUUAUUAUGGCGGUGGCUAUCACGAGGGCUAUGGAAAACCUAAGAAAUGUCAUAGUUGCUGCAAAAAAUACAAUAUGGAUGCAUAAAAUACUGCUGCUCUUAUGAAGAAUAUGUGGCUGCCCAGACUCACAACUAAAUAAUUAAUUGUGUGUAUUAUUAUUGUAAACUUUUGAAAUUAAGUGACAAGAUAAUAAUAAUCUUGUUACUUAAGACCCUUUGCUUGUAACAAGUAUGAAUAAAGCCAUUCAUUUACUAUGAAUGGUUGGUCAUGAUGUAAUGUUUUGUUGUACAAUAUAUCAUAUUGUGUUAAAAAAUGUUUCCCUAAUGUUAAGAUUUUCUUCUUAUUUUUACUUUAAGUAUUAUAUUCUAUCAUCCUUUAAUCAUAUAUUUCAGGAUUGAAUCCUGAUCCGAAUAUAGAAUUGUCUUUGUUACAUAGUGUUUUACUUGAUCUGAAUUUUUUAACGUGAAUCCAAUUUAUUUAAGGCAUCUCUAAGGAUAUUGAACAUCGAGGGGAAAAUUUAAAAUAUUUAAUUUUCUUGUUAUUUAAUAAAGUAAGGAAAACAAUGCAGAAAAAAGAAACAAUUUGUUCUUUUCUUUGUCUAAUAUUUUUUAAAAGUAUAAUCACAGAAGAAAUAAAAUUAAAGCAUGGGGGACAAAAGACUAAUAAUGUCAAAUCAUCACUUAUUUUUUGAUUUCUAAUGAACACUCUAGUCAGGGCUGAAAUCGAAAUUUUAUGAAAACAUCACAAUAUAAACAAAAAUAAACACAUGAGUAAAUUUUAAUGAUUCAAUAUAUGAUACAAUGUAGUAACUUUUUUCGACGAAGGAGAGUCAAUUAACACUCUUAGAUAAGGAUGGUUACAUCAUUAAUAUUCACGAUCACCAUUAGGGGCGGAUUUACCUUAAGCUCGCAAUGCCAUCUAGCUAUUAGUCAUGCAUGGAAAAUAAAUUUUCUUAUGCACAUGAUCAACUAAAUAAAUAUCGUAUUAUUUAGAAAAGAUUUAUAUAUAUAUAUGCAACAUCAACCAAAUAACUCACAAUCUCACAUGAUUAUUAAUCAGGGAAAAGAUUAAAUAAUUUUCGUCAUGUUGUGCAAAAAUAUAUAUUUCUAAUCUUAUUAAUAUUAGGUUAGGGGGGGAAACCGUUUUUUUGGGUUAUUUAUUAUUUCUAUCUAUAUUUUGUGUAUAUAUAUAAAAAAAAAUUAGCAUAAAAUAUAAACGUAUCCUUUAAUUUGGUCUCAACUGACAUCUAGCCCUCCAACUUUGGAUGUGCACAAGUAGAGACUUAAACUUGUAUAGAGUUGAACAAGUAGACACACUAAUCCUACAUGACAUAAUACGUGUAGGACCGCAUGUACGACACAAAUUAUCAUGUAGAACAUGUGUGUUUACUUAUUCUAUUAUAUAUAAAGUUAAGUGUUUACCAUUAGUACACAUUCAAAAUUAAAGGUUAUAAAUAUCGGUUAAGGUCAAAAUAAAAUAAUAUUUUCAUGUAUUAUACUUGUUUUUUUAGUAAGACUUUUCUUGAGUUAUAAAGCAAAUGAAGAGAGUUGGCCCCUCUUAUUUAACUUGAUACGUUGUACAUUAAAUACGUCAUUUAAAGUCUUUGAGUAUUGACCAAAUCCAAGAGUAUAUAUACACCACUAUUUCUAGAUAUUUUAGGAUAAGGUAGUCCUACAUGUUAGCAUAUUUUAAAUUACUUUUUUGCAUAACUGUCCAAAAAUAUACUAUUAACACGACGAUUUAUUAUCGAAAUAUAUAAUACCCAUCACAUGCAUAUUAUUUUUUAAAGUUAUUUUAAUGUUGUUUGAUUAUCUACUAAGUAUUAAUCUUUGUUUUUAGUUUGUUUUGUCGGACGGUGUACGUAAGCCACUUGGUCAUAUUGAUGUGAUAUAUUUACAAAUAUCUUUUCGAAAAAAUAAGUAAAUUUUUAUCUAUUCUUAUUUUUUUUAUAGGGAAAAAAGACUGAAAUAUAUACAAACUUUGGCCAUUCUACUUUUAAUAAUGGUGUUAUAGUAUUAACGUAUGUACUUGUGCCUCUCUACUUUUACUAAUGGUGUUUCGAUAUUUUUAACUUUUAAUUUGAUUAUUUUGAAUAUUUAAGAUUUGUAAAAUACAAACAAAUACAAUUUAUAAAUAUUAUGUUUUUUUCAUCUUAACAAAAUAUUACUUACGACUCCACCAUAAAAUCAACACUCUAUUUAUCUGCCACUUGUAGAGCAAGCUCAUUUCUUUGGUCCAUAAAAUAAUUGCAAUCCGUACAUGUGUCCCCUCACACCUCUAAUUAUUUAUGCAUUCAAAUCUUAUUAUAAAUGAGCCCAAACAUGCAUUAGUUUCUUCAUCCCUCAAUUUUCAUAUUUCAUAAGUACUAAGUUUUGAACAAAAGAAAAAUUAAAAAGAAUGGGUUCCAAGGCAAUUAUGUUUCUUGGUAUUUUUUUGGCUAUUUUCUUAAUGAUAAGCUCUGAGGUUGCAGCUAGGGAGUUGGCAGCUGAGACUUCCAAUGGUAAGCAUUUCUUCUCAUUUGUUCCCUCUCUUAGGGUGUGUUCGAUAAAAAAAAAUGUUUUUCAUGAAAUAUAUUUUGUAAGAAAAUAUGAAUGACUUCUUUAUUUACUUUUUUGUGUUCAAUAUUGUGAUAUAAUCUAGACAGAUAUAUAAUUGGUGGGGUUGGAUGGUGAGGGUGUGGGGAUGAGGAUGGGGGCGAAGAUAAAUAUGUUUGGUCAUAAAAUUUGUCUACUUUUUAAAAAUUAUUGGAAACCAAAUCCAAAAAUUUCAAUCACUAAUGCUAUAGUUUGAUCAUGACAUUUAAUAUACAUUCCUUUUGUUUCAUUUAAUAUAUGUCUCAAUUACAAGGCAUAAACCUUCCAAUCUUUGCUAAACUAAACUAAAGGUGUGUAAAUUAUAUUAUAAAUGUCCUACGAAUUUUGUGAUCUUUUGUUACAUUGAACUUAAAAAAUAUACAAUUAAAUAUAUAUAGGAAAAGGAGUACUCAUUUUGAAAUAUAAUAAAAAGGAAAGUACGACAUAUAAAUUGAAGCUCAAUUCAGAGACUAGUCAUGACUCAUCGUAUGUGUAAGCUAGUUUAAUUAAUCUUCACAAUUCAUCGAUGUAGCGGUCAACGUUGAUGGACAUUAUCAUGGUGGCGGCUAUGGUAAGGGCUAUGGAAAACCUAAAAAAUGUUAUAGUUGCUGCAAGAAAACCAAAUAUGGAUGCAAAAAAUACUGCUGCUCUUAUGAAGAAUAUGUGGCUGCCCAGACUCACAACUAAAUAAUUAAUUGUGUGUAUUAUUAUUGUAAACUUUUGAAAUUAAGUGACAAGAUAAUAAUAAUCUUGCUACUUAAGACCCUUUGCUUGUAACAAGUAUGAAUAAAGCCAUUCAUUUACUAUGAAUGGUUGGUCAUGAUGUAAUGUUUUGUUGUACAAUAUAUCAUAUUGUGUUAAAAAUGUUUCCCUAAUGUUAAGAUUUCCUUCUUAUUUUUACUUAAGUAUUCUAUCAUCCUUUAAUCAUAUGUUUCAGGAUUGAAUCCUGAUCCGAAUAUAAAAUCGUCUUUAUUACAUAGCUUUUACUCGAUCUGAAUUUUUUACCGUGAAUCCAAUUUAUUUAAGGCAUCUCUAAUUAAGGAUAUUGAACAUUGAGGGGAAAAAUUUAAAAUAUUUAAUUUUCUUGUUAUUUAAUAAAGUAAGGAAAACAAUGCAGAAAAAAGAAACAAUUUGUUCUUUUCUUUGUAUAAUAUUUUUUAAAAAUAUAAUCACAGAAGAAAUAAAAUUAUAGUAUGGGGGACAAAAGACUAAUAAUGUGAAAUCGUCACUUAUUUUUUUGAUUUCUAAUGAACACUCUAGUCAGGGCUGAAAUCGAAAUUUUAUGAAAACAUCACAACAUAAACAAAAAUAAACACAUGAGUAAAUUUUACUGAUUCAAUAUAUGAUACAAUGUUGUAGCUUUUUUCGACGAAGGAGAAUCAAUUAACACUCUUAGAUAAGGAUGGUUACAUCAUUAAUAUUCACGAUCACCAUUAGGGGCGGAUUUACCUUAAGCUCGCAAUGCCAUCUAGCUAUUAGUCAUGCAUGGAAAAUAAAUUUUCUUAUGCACACGAUCAACUAAAUAAAUAUCGUAUUAUUUAGAAAAGAUUUAUGUAUAUAUAUAUAUAUAUAUAUGCAACGUCAACCAAAUAACUCACAAUCUCACAUGAUUAUGAAUCAGGGAAAAGAUUAAAUAUUUUUCGUCAUGUUGUGCAAAAAUAUAUAUUUCUAAUCUUAUUAAUAUUAGGUUAGGGGGGUAAACCUUUUUUUGGGUUAUUUAUUAUUUCUAUCUAUAUUUUGUGUAUAUAUAUAUAUAAAAAAAUUGCAUAAUAUAUAAACGUAUCCUUUAAUUUGGUCUCAACUGACAUCUAGCCCUCCAACUUUGGAUGUGCACAAGUAGAGACUUAAACUUGUAUAGAGUUGAACAAGUAGACACACUAAUCCUACAUGACAUAAUACACAUAGGACACCAUGUACGACACAAAUUAUCAUGUAGAACAUGUGUGUCUACUAGGGGUGUACAUGGCCGGGUUGGUUCGGGUUUUUCAAAUAUCAAACCAACCCAUUUGUGUCGGAUUUUUAAAUUUAUAAACCAAACCAAACCAAUAAAACUCGGGUUUUUCAACCUCGGGUUUUUUCGGGUUUUUCGGUUUUUCGGGUUGUUUCGGGUUUUUCCGGUAAAGUAUUCAUACGAACAUAUAAUUUACUUGUACUUCAAAUAUUUCUUUAGUCCUACCAAAAUACAACUAUCUAAGAUGUUUCUUAAAAAUAUAACACAAUAUAAUAUGAUAAUGACACUAAAAUAUCCAACAAAAAUAAUAAUAAUGAAAUCGCGUAAAACAAAUAUUGCAAAUUAACAAGUCAUAAUGAAAAUGAUCAUAAUUUAAAAGUACUAAAUCAUGCUAAAAUAAGUUUAAUAAGUAUUAGUUACAUUACUAAAUANNNNNNNAAAAAUAAUAAUAAUGAAAUCGCGUAAAACAAAUAUUGCAAAUUAACAAGUCAUAAUGAAAAUGAUCAUAAUUUAAAAGUACUAAAUCAUGCUAAAAUUAAGUUUAAUAAGUAUUAGUUACAUGACUAAAUAUUAAAGAAAAUUAAAAUUAGAUUAUGUAUUUUAAUUGUCUAAACCAAUGUAAAACUAAAGAACAAAUAUUCAAUAUUAUUGUCAUUCUUAGUGUUGAAUUGAUUUUCUUUUUGCAUUAGUAUUAAUUUGAUUUUGAUUUAAGCUUUAUUAUAAUUACCAACAUAUGUGGACUAUAAUCUUUAUUGGCCCAUUCAUAAUUCUAAGUUUCAAACUUGAAAUAAUAUAUUAAAUAUUAAAAACUAUGGAAAAGUAUAAGAAAUAUUUUAAAAUUAUAUCAAAGUAAAUAUUUUUAUGUAUAAAAUAAAAUUUUAAAAUUAUAUAUAUAAAUUCGGGUUGGUUUGGUCUCGGGUUGGUUUUUUUUAGUUAAAACCAAACCAACCCAAAUAUAGUCGGGUUUUUUUUUUCAAAACCAAACCAAGUCAAACCAAACCACUAGUCGGGUUUUUUUUUCGGGUUGACUCGGUUUGCGGUUUGGUUCGGUUCUCGGUUCGGUUUUGUACACCCCUAGUGUCUACUUGUUCUAUUAUAUAUAAACUUAAGUGUUUACACAUUCAAAAUUAAAGGUUAUAAAUAUCGAUUAAGGUCAAAAUAAAAUAAUAUUUUCAUGUAUUAUACUUGUUUUUUAGAAGACUUUUCUUGAGUUAUAAAGCAAAUGAAGAGAGUUGGCCCCUCUUAUUUAACUUGAUACGUUGUACAUUAAAAGAGUCAUUAAAUACGUCAUUUUAAGUCUUUGAGUAUUGACCAAAUCCAAGAGUAUAUAUACACCACUAUUUCUAGAUAUUUUAGGAUAAGGUAGUCCUACAAGUUAGCAUAUUUUUAAUUACUUUUUUGCAUAACUAUCCAAAAAUAUACCAUUAACACGACGAUUUAUUAUCGAAAUAUAUAAUACCCAUCACAUGCAUAUUAUUUUUCAAAGUUAUUUUAAUGUUGUUUGAUUAUCUACUAAGUAUAAAUCUUUGUUUUUAGUUUGUUUUGUCGGUCGGUGUACGUAAGCCACUUGGUCAUAUUAAUGUGAUAUUUACAAAUAUUUUUUCGAAAAAAUAAGUAAAUUUUUAUCUAUUCUUAUGUUUUUUUAUAGGAAAAAAAGUUUGAAAUAUAUCCGAACUUUGAUCAUUCUACUUUUACUAAUGGUGUUAUAGUAUUAACGUAUGUACUUGUGCCUCUCUACUUUUACUAAUGGUGUUUUGAUACUUUUAACUUUUAAUUUGACUAUUUUGAAUAUUUAAGAUUGUAAAAUACAAACAGAUACAAUUUAUAAAUAUUAUGUUUUUUUCAUCUUAACAAAAUAUUACUUACGACACCACCAUAAAAUCAACACUCUAUUUAUCUACCACUUGUAGAGCAAGUUCAUUUCUUUGGUCCAUAAAAUAAUUGCAAUCCGUAUUGUGUCCCCUCACACCUCUAAUUAUUUAUGCAUUCAAAUUUUAUUAUAAAUAGAGCCCAAAAAUGCAUUAGUUUCUUCAUCCCUCAAUUUUCAUAUUUCAUAAGUACUAAGUUUUUGAACAAAAGAAAAUUAAAAAGAAUGGGUUCCAAGGCAAUUAUGUUUCUUGGUCUUUUUUUGGCUAUUUUCUUAAUGAUAAGCUCUGAGGUUGCAGCUAGGGAGUUGGCAGCUGAGACUUCCAAUGGAUGUGCACAAGUAAGGACUUAAACUUGUAUAAAGUUGAGCAAGGAGACACACUAGUCCUCUGUGACAUAAUACACAUAGGACACCAUGUACGACACAAAUUAUCAUGUAGGACAUGUGUGUCUACUUGUUCAAUUAUAUAUAAACUUACGUGUCUACCAUUAGGUCCAUUACACAUCUAAAAUUAAAGGUUAUAAAUAUCAAUUAAGGUCAAAAUAAAACAACAUUUUCAUGUAUUAUACUUUGUUUAGAAGACUUUUCUUGAGUUAUAAAGCAAAUGAAGAGAGUUGGCCCCUCGUAUUUAACUUGAUACGUUGUACAUUAAAAGAGUCAUUAAAUACGUCAUUUAAGUCUUUGAGUAUUGACCAAAUCCAAGAGUAUAUAUACACCACUAUUUCUAGAUAUUUUAGGAUAAGGUAGUCCUACAAGUUAGCAUAUUUUAAAUUACUUUUUUGCAUAACUAUCCAAAAAUAUACUAUUAACACGACGAUUUAUUAUCGAAAUAUAUAAUAUAUAUCCAUCACAUGCAUAUUAUUUUUUAAAGUUAUUUUAAUGUUGUUUGAUUAUCUACUAUUAAUCUUUGUUUUUAGUUUGUUUUGUCGGUCGAUGUACGUAAGCCACUUGGUCAUAUUUAUGUGAUAUAUUUACAAAUAGGUUUUUUGAAAAAAUAAGUGAAUUUUACGCCACAAAAAAAGUGUGAAUUACAUAGAAAUUUUCCUGGAAAUUAGUAUGAGAAUCUGCAGGAAACUUAUUUUCUUGUAAAUUUUCAUAUUAAUCCCCAGAAAAAUCCUCGUGGAAUUCACACUUUUCUUAUAGUGUUUUAUUUAUUUUUAUGUUUUUUAUAUGUAGGCAAAAAGUAUAAUCUCAAAAUCAUUUAUAUAUAAUUAGAAUAACUAUUAUAACAAGAGAGGUAGGGGUUAGGGAAGGUAGGGAUCAAGAUGAAAUAUACUGUGUAGGAGGAUGGAAAGGACAUUAUCAAUAAUUUGGAAUAUCACCUGCAGAACUUAUUUUAUCUAUACUUUCGAUUUUUUAUUGGAGAAAUCAUUUUCCUCAUUAAUAAAAAAAAAAAAUUAUUUUUUUAGAGAAACAAAUAUAUUUGGAUGCUUAGUGUGAAAGCAAGACUGAAUAAUAUUGAUAAGUCAACUGACAAGUGACAUUUUGACAUGUUAUGAUGCAUUAUUGUUAGUUAUUGUCACUUAUGCUUUAAUUUGUGGACUAGAAACCGCAUGCACCUACGUACUAUAAAAGAUUGCCACGAACUUUAUUUAUAAAGAAAAAUUACAUAAUAUAUAAGAGAUUAUCAUGAUUAUGACAUUUAAUCGAUUUGAAAUUAUGAAUAAAGAUUAAUGGAGGGUUGUGAAGAUAUAGAAGCUACUAUUUACGUCUGUAUUAGCUAUAAUAUUUUAUGAUACUUGUUUUAAAUAUCCAUAAAUAAUAUACCAAGUUAAAAUUUUACUUUAAAAAAUUAUGAUAUAAUUUUUAAAUUUAAAAUUUUCAAGUGAUUCAUUUGGUAGUUUGAGCAGUAAUGGAGGGUGGUUGGGUGUGGGGUGUGGGCGGGAGGAGGUCUAAGAAGACCUAGUCAACUUAAUUGAUUAGUGAGUGAUUGACAUUUUGCCACUUGGAAUUAUUAAUAAGUCAACUAAUAAGUCAUUCACCUUUAAUUUAUCGAACAAUAAAUAGCAACAAUAACAUGGCAUUUAAUUAGUCGCUGUUAUAUACUCUUCCAAACUCUAUCUAUUAUCUAUUCACUUUGUCCUAUUUUUCUUUUAUUCAACUUUACAUUAAUAGUGUAUUUAGUAGGUAAAAAAGCAUUUUAUAUAAUUUUUUAGAUUGAAAAAUAUUAUUUCAAUAAUAUUUAUAUAUAUAGUUCGAUAAUACAAGGAUGGAGGUAAAAUGGACUCAUCGUGUGCGUAUGGAGGGUGGGGGGUGGAAGUGGGCUUUUUGGGAGCCGGGGUCGAUGUGAGUGGGCAAGGGGAUGCAACGGUGGAGAGAGGACAAUCAAGAUUUUAUGUCAUUUAUAAAAUUUAUUUUUCAUAUUUUUACGAGAAAAGUCAUGAUUUAAGUUUCACAUAUAAGUCACAUUAAAUUAACUUGAUAAUUUUAAAAAUCAUUACGUUAUCAGUACAUAUAACUUAAAUGUUUUCUAUCAAGAUUUUCAGGAUAAGGUUUGUCCUACAAGUUGAGCAAAUAUUUUAUUUAAUUAUUGCAUAAUAAUCUGACAAUACAUCAACAUUUAAUGUACAAUUUCCCCACAAGAGCCGUCGUCUACUAAUUUGUUGCCAAAAGGAUUUUGGAGAUCUUAUAAUGAUGUGUACAAAAUAUUUAGAGGAAUUUUUGAGAUUAGUGGUUAACAAAAAUUAAUCUUAGAAUAAAAGUUAGCUAAUUUGCAAUUUGGCAAGCCUGGCUAGAGGGUCGAAGUGCGCAAAUAUCCGAUUUUGAGAUUAUCAUUUCCAGGCGUACUACAUAAAAAAUUUGCAAAGUCUAUCCAUUUUUUAGAAUAAUUUCAAACAUGUAGGGUUUGAAGUUAGGCUUGAUGAAACUAAAAUUCAAACAAAAUGUUUUAAGUUUUAUACGGUUGAGGCUCAAACACAUAUGAUGUGAUUAUAUAAAUUACUUUUAAACUAACGAUAUAUAUAAUGAGCCCAAUAAUUGUGAAUUCUUUACCUUCUUCACCUGCCAAAAGCACAUCCCAUAAAUGCACCUCUCACACCUCCAAAUAAUGUUCUUUCCCUACCAUUUGUAAUACAUUCAAAUCUUACUAUAUAUAGAGACCAACUAUACAUAAGCUUCACCAUCCUAUAAUUUCAAGUAUCAUAGUAAGUUUAGUGGGUAAAAUGGGUUCUAAGACAUUUAUGUUCCUUGGCCUUUUUUUGGCCAUUUAUGUAAUGAUAAGCUCUGAGGUUGUAGCUAAAGAGUUGAGUGAGACUUCAGAAGAGAAGUGUAAGAAUCCUCUCAUUAUUUGUUCCUUUUGUGGUUGUGUUUGGUACCAAGGAAAAUGUUUUCGGUGAAAAAUAAUUUAUUAGAAAAUAUUUUCUUUGAAACAUAAACGUACUUAUUAUAAUAUUAUUUAAGGUACAUAUAUAUUUUACCCGUAAGAACGUAUGUUUUUAUAAUCAUAAAAAUGUCAUCACAUAUUCGAGAUCACAAAUUUUUAAAAUAGGUUAAUGGCAUAACAUUCUUGUUUACACAAUUGAUACAGCAAAGAAAUCCAAUAACAAGAAUGUAGUACAUGAAGACCAAUUUGGUGGCGGAUACCCCGGCGGUGGCGGUGGAUACCCUGGCGGUGGCGGUGGAUACCCCGGUGGUGGUGGUGGAUACCCUGGUGGUGGUGGUGGCGGCUACCCUGGUGGUGGCCGCGGUGGUGGUGGCUACCCUGGCGGCGGUCGUGGUAGAGGCGGAUAUCCCGGUGGCGGCCGCGGGGGAUACCCUGGUGGUGGUCGCGGACGUGGUGGAUACCCCGGCGNNNNNNNNNNNNNNNNNNNNNNNNNAUGAAGACCAAUUUGGUGGUGGAUACCCCGGCGGUGGACGUGGUGGCGGUGGAUACCCUGGCGGCGGACGUGGCGGUGGUGGUGGUGUAGGAUACUGUCGCAAUGGUUGUUGCAACGGCAAUAACUAUGAGUGCUAUAGUUGCUGUUAAUUAUGGGGAGCAAUAAAUAUUUGUAAUGGCAAAGAUGUAAUACUAGUGAUUAAAACUUUUGCUAAAUUAAUUUAAUUUCUACAACUUUUUGUAAGAAUUAUGAAAUUAAAAGUCAUCAUGUAUGUAACGUUUGUUAAUUAUGCUAUGCUGUGAGACAAUAUUUUCCCUAAUUUGGUGUUUCUUUCUCAAUUAUUUAAUCAGAUAUUAUGUCGUUCAAUUUGAAGAGUGAUAAGUUGAAAUUAUGGUAUUAAUCGAAAAUUUAUGAAAAAAGAGAAGUCAAUUGAGAUAUUAAUAUGAUAUAUAAUUGCGACAUUAUUUUGAAAAUUGAAGUCGUAAGCUUUUACUCUAUAUAUCAUACCAAUUUACUAUGACGAAUGCUAUCGAAAUCAAACUUAAAACUAUGAUUACACCAAAUUAGUUAAUUUGAUAUGAUAGUAUAGUAUUUUUGAAAAUCGAGAAUCGAAAUUUUCAAUAUCAUGAACACCUAGACUAAAGGAAUUUGGUAAAUCCAAUUUUGACUAUAAUCUAUAUAUCCUUAUAAAUAAACCAAAGAACGACAAAAUUAAUGCCACCAUAUAUUAUAGUAAGUAAUCCCACAUAACAUUAAUUCUCAGUAAGGCGUGAAAAUCUUCAUAUUAUUACCAAUGGUAUAAUAUAAUAAUAAACUGAAUUAUCAAGAUUGAUCAGAAUUCUUUAGACUCUGAUCUUCAGACGUAAUACACAGAGACGAACAAAAUUCUCCAGAUUCUGAUCUUCAGACAUAAUACACAGAUGACUUCUCCAGAUUCUGAUCUUCAGAUGUAAUACACAUAUGACUUCUUUAAAGUUUUAUCACCCGCUUUGAUACCAUGAAGAUAUUCACUAUGAAUUAUAAGAACAAUAGAAUUGGAAAAGAAGAAAGUAUUUGUUAUUUUUCCUUUUUAAGCAGUAGUUAUACAAUGACUAAAUCCUAUGUAUUUAUAUUUUCCUUACUAACUAACUUACCUAACUUUUUGGUAACUACCUUCUAACUAACUUCUUGAAGUAGUCCUAACUAACUCUAAACACUCUCCUUCUUUUUUAACUAUCUCAUUACAAACACUCUGAGGUUGGAAGAGGGGUGGAUGAAGGUGAGGGGGAUGGAGGGAGGGGGGGGGUUGAGAGCCGGUCGGAGACUGGGUUUCGAGAGGAGGUGUGGUGCAUGGUAGGAUAGGGACGUAGAGACGAGGGUGAACUAAAGAGAGACAAUCAACUUAGAAUAACACUAAUAUAAAAUUUAUUUUUUCUAAUUUUCCAUCAUGUAUACCAUUUUUAGAGAAUAUAAGUCACUUACUUUUUUUUGAUAAAAUAUUUUUAGAAAAUUUUGACAAUGAACACAAAAGAGUCACAUGACUAUGUCUAUUGCAAUGCAAUAUAUUAUAUUCAUUUUUGUAUGAUAUAAUAUACCAUUUCCACACAAGAGCCGUCGACUACUUUGCUAACAAAAGAUUUUGGUGAUCUUAUAAUGUGUCCAAAAUGGAUAAUGAACCCACAUAAAUACGUACAGUUGAGUAAUAAUGUUUUGUAUUUUUGAAGGUCUGAACUCCUCUAGUAGACCUUCUAUUCACCACUGUCUGAGGAUCAUUAGACAUACAAUCCUGUCCUUGAACUGUUUCCUCCACUGUAUCUUGUUCAAUAUUAUCAGUCAAGUUUCUGUCUAAUUAUGUAUCACAUUGAGUUUCUUGUACAUACCUAUGAUUAAAUUUGUUCUUGUCACUCAUGUUAUCAUAGCCUAACUUUCAUUCUACAUUCAGCAUAUCAUUAUCCAAAUGAUUUACAAACGGACCUUUUUCACUUUUAUCUAAAACAGUUAAGAAAGGAAAGACCGACUCUCUGAAUAUCACAUCUCUACUCACAAAGAAGCUUUUGGAAGUCAAAUCUAACAAAAUAUAACCCUUUUGAGUUUCUGAGUACCCCAUAUGUACUGCAGCCUUUGUCCUGGAUGCUAGUUUAUCACUUUCAGUUAACAAUUUAGCAUAGCAUAAACAACCUAAUAUUCUAAUAUGAGAUAUCAUUGGCUUAACACCAUACAUCAUUUCAUAUGGAGAUUUACCUCCCAGAACUCUGCUAGGUAUUCUGUUUAUCAAGUAAGCAGUUGCAAGUAUACACUGACCCCAAAACCUUAUAGGAAUAUGGCCCUGAAACCUUAGCGCUCUAGUCACCUCUAAUAGAUGUCUAUGCUUCCUUUCAGCCACUCCAUUUUGCUGUGGAGUAUAAGGACACGAUCUUUGAUGUACUAUACCUCUUUCUUUAAACAAGGUAGCACAUAUAGCAUUCAUAAAUUCAGUUCCAUUAUCAGACCUUACCUUCAUUACCACUUUGUCAAAUUGUGUCUUGACAAACUUCAGAAAAUAAUCUAAAGCUACACACACAUCUGCUUUACUUUUUAAUAGAAAUAACCAACUCAUCCUUGAGAAAUCAUCAACUACUGUGAGAAAAAAUCUAUUACCAUCAAAAGUUGCCUGUUUGUAUGGACCCCAUACAUCCAAAUGAAUCAAAUCAAAAAUUUGACUACUUUUAAUACUACUAACAUGAAACAUAUUUCUAGUUUGUUUUGCACAAGGACAUACAGUACACUCAUUUAGCACUUUAUUCACUACUUCUGAAUUAACAGGAAAAACUUUACUCAACAUUUGUGCAGAUCCAUGUCCUAGCCUUUUGUGACAUACAUUCAAUUCCUUUUCUGAUAACUGUUGUAUCUCUAGCUUCUUUUCAGGUACAACAAAUGACUGGUGCUUUAAUUGAUCUUUUGAUAAAUUCCUUAGCAGUAGGUACAAACCAUCCUCCUCUUUUACCAACUUCCCUCACCUUGCCAGUGUAAAGCUCCUGAAACACACAAAAAUGAGGGAAGAAAGUGACUGAGCAAUUUAACUCCUUAGUCACCUUACUCACUGAUAGCAAGUUGUACUUGAACUCUGGUAUGUGAUAAACAUUUGUAAUCACACUUCUUGGAGAUAUGUUACAUAAUCAUGUAUGAGACACAUAUGACACUUCCCCAGUAGGUAAAUAUAUAGGUUUUGGCUCUUUAACCCUGAUAACAGACUCACUAGUAAGCAUAUCCAAGUUUAAUACCAUAUGAUUAGAUUCCCCAGUAUCUACAAUCCAGACCUGACUAUUUUCAGAAAUUAACAAGACUUUACCUGCAAUAUUAGCCUGAGUUUCAUGCGCAUGGCUUGAAUCUUCUGAUUUCUGUCCACCUUCUUGAUUCUGCUUCAACAUUUGAAGAAUUUGACUAUACUGAUCUUUGGUGAAAUUACAUCCUUGUAACUGGUUUGAACAUUCCUCUAUAUUACUCAUAUGAUUUUUCACAGGUACAUUAGUGUUACCUCCAUAGUUGAAAGAAACUCUACCAGACACAUCCUCAUAAUCAUCCUUUUUUGUGUUGUUAACAUCAUUUCCAACCAUGUAAGCUCCAGUUCCUGUACUGAUAUUCACUUUCCUUUUUGACUUGAAAUCAGAUGGAGUUUUAGAUAAUCCGAGACUCAAGUCUUAGUUUAUCUUGAAUGUUGAGCAGAAACACUAGUAAUUUAUUAUUUUUCCAGAAAAAUUACCAAUAAUUAGAUGUAGUUCUUUCAACUUAACUCAAUUUGAAGUUGUUUUAAAUUCCAAGCACUUUUAAUGAACGUCAAAGUUUAUGAACUUCAUACAGUUUGCAACAUUUGUUAUACUAAUCCCUCUUCAAUUGGUGUUAAGGGUGCUUCAUAGAUUGUAGAGAGGCUAAAGAUUAUGCUAUAUAGUGGACCCAUAUAUUAUCCUUGAUGUAAUCUUUUACUGAACUUCAAAUCUAUACUUUUGCUUUUCCCACACUCUGUUAGUCUUAUUUGUGUGGCCGCAAUGGUAAAUCGCUAUUUGAAGUUAUAUGCUUGUGAAUUUUGAUACCGAAGUAGUUUCUACCAGUCUAGCUAAUCUGGUUUUCUUCGUUUGCUCUUAUUUUGUGGUGAACAGAGUAUAGAAGCUUUGUUAUGCUUUUUGAAUAGUCAAAAAAUUUGAUUGCACUCAUCCUUUACAAUCUUUAGAACAAUGAAUCAGUAUCUGCUAUUACGCUCACCUUUGUACCCUUUCUGGACAACUUAUGCAUAUUGACACUUUACCAGUACUAACCAAAUCAAGAGGGUUUUAAAUAUGAUAGGUACUUUCCGUCUUUGAAUAGUGUUACACUCUCAUAUGAUAGAGUUAUUGGAAGACAUCUCAUAGGCUAUGAAUGAUAGCUUUGAUCUACACUCUUGAGUCUUGGUUGUGCUAAAGCAACAACAAAAAUAUGCUUUAAAAAUACGUGGUCGAAAAAGUUACUUUUUUACUAUGAAGUUGUCAUAUAAAUCUACUGAUCUAUAAAAGUGUGAACACAGAGAGGAUUCAAAGAUAUUACAGUAAUCAGCCUUAGUGUAUAGGCUUCUAAAGUGCCAUUAUAUUUUCAAGGGAAAAAUGACAAAUAUACCCCGAACUAUCGUAAAUGGUAUGCAGAUAUCCUCCGUCAUACUUUUGGGACAUUGGUGUCCCUGCCGUCCAAAAACAAUAGCAUAUAUGCCCUUCACUCUAACGAAAGACUAAAUAGGGACACGUAUCCGUCGAUCUGAUAUUUAAUGAAUGUCGGUCGGUGGAUAAGAUUAUGACACGUGUGUAUGUCCGUUAGUAUAAAGGGUAUAUAUGCUCUAGUUUUUGGACGGCAGGGGCACCAAUGUCCCAAAAGUAUAACGGAGGGUAUCUGAAUACCAUUUACGAUAGUUCGGGGUAUAUUUAUCCUUUUUCCCUAUUUUCAAUCAUAAUUAGCCUACGGGGUUGUCAUUGAAAAACUCACACUUCAUAUUAUCUUUGAAGUAGACUAUCUUAAGAAAACAAUCUGCUCAACAUGUUUGAAGCACCAUAAGCAUUUAUGGUAUUAUCUAUUCCAAGCAGGUAAUAAUAACAUCUUGUUUUACUACUGCAACACCUUUAUGGUAAAUUACAAAUUAACAAUUAUAACUACUGAAUCUUUUUUGCGUUUUGCUAGGUGUGUGGUUGUAUAAUAAACUUAUUUUUUUAUAGAGUAAAAAGGAAAUAUAAUUUUUUUUAUUUGAAUGUGAAACAUACAACUCUAAUAUUGACCAUUUAAUGUGCGAGUUAUAGCACCUCUACUUUCAUCAAUUAUUUAUGGCUCAGUUACAUCGGCUAAAGCUUGGCAAAGAGUUGUAACGAUUGCUGGUUCCAUUACUACUGUUCCACACCUCUAUUUCUACAAUAUGUCCAGCAUUUGAACUUGCAAUUCCUUUUGACAUGUUGCUGGAAAGAUUGUGAGUUCUUUUUUUUUUUGAAAGAUGCAUGGAUGAACAUAUUUGGGAGUUAAAAGGGACCCUUUGUGAGUUGUAAUUUUUUUUUUAUUAAGAUGGUAACAUAUUUUUGUUGAUUGACUGCUUAGUUGAGGUCUCUUAUUAAUUGGCAAUCCAAUCCUUUUCUCCACUAAUUCAUGAAUCUUUUAUAUUCGAUUACUAGUGGAUAAUAAGAUCAUUUUAUUGUUGUAGCCAAUGAAAGCACGAAGAUACUGAUUCAGGAGUUUUGUGAAUUGGUUGAACCUUUUAGUGCUUAUCCCAGGUUCUAACAUGAAAAUCUUGUGCCUCAUCUUUCAUGAAUUUACUUGGUAGCGUCGCACCACUCAAUCUAAAAUUCUAAAUUGUUGUGGUUCAAUAUAUAGUGCUAGUUCCUGCCGUUAAGUUGUUUGUCUUUCACCCUAUAUAUGUCAUGUGGAGUUACCUAUAUUUCCUAUGUAAUGAAACAAUGUUUUGCGGAUCUAUAAUAAACAUAACUUCCUAUUUUUUUAGCAAAUCCUCAUCUAGAUACAUAGACAUUUCUGAUGGUAGACGAAGCUACAUCAACUUGAACUAAAUCUCUAAUAACACAACUGCAGUAAACUUAAUUCUAUACUUUUGCUUUUCCCACUUUGGUUAGUCUUAUAUUUGUGUGGAUGCUAGGGUAAAUUGCUAUUGCUAUGAUUAUACUUGUUAAAGAAUGACAAAAGUCCCAUAUCGGUGAUUAAUGAGAUGGGUGGACUCCUUAUAAGGCUUGGGCAAUCCUCCUCCCUUUGAGCUAGCUUUUGGGGUGUGAGUUAGGCCUAAGACCUAAUUUAACAAUACUUGAAGUUGUAUGUAUGCUUGAGAAUUAUGAUACUUAAGUAGUUUUUACUAGAAAUCAAGAGAAAUUAACUUCUUUUUUAUUUAGAUACUUCUUGAUUGUUAUUUUUUCAGACAAGUCACACUUCUUGCAAUGUUUUGAUACUUUACAUCUCAUCUUUUGAUGCAUUUGUUUUUUUAUUCCAGGUCAUAUAAUCUAAAGUCCUCAAAUUUCAAAUUUGGGAGAUUUCAAUAUGAAGAAGAGGUGCAAAACUUAUGUGAAAACAUUAUUCAAUAGGAUAGAUAUAUACAAACAAUAUAAGUUUAAUUUUAUACGUUGUGACAUUCAUAUUUUGGAUUAGUACUUCCUUUUAUUUGUCUAGAUUUUAUGAUAUAUAUUCUAUUUUAUGAAUUAAUAAUAGUAUAUGUUUUUUGCAUUUGUCAAACUUUGUUGUUACUAUCUGGUGCUCUUUUGCCAACAAGUUUGUUGAAUUUGUAUAUAUACAUUUUCUCGACCAAUGUAGUAAUUAUUAUUAAUGUUGGCUAUAAAAUUGUCGUUAAAGGUUAUAAUAUUUAGCGUCAAUCUAAUAAAUUUAUUGAUCAUAAAAAUGGACACUGAAAAGGCAAACUAAUUUUUUUUAGAAGGGAUAUUGUAGCCAUUACUUGCCAUAGUAAAUUGUCGUUAAAAUUACUACCUUGUGGCUAUUUAAUUGGAUUUAUCUACUAAAACAAUAGAUGCUAAAAACAAUAGUUAGUCGAUAUUAACUACCUAUAGCAGUUAACAUAAUUGCCACAAACAAUUGCCGUUAAAACAAAUACUUUUAGUGGCUAUGUAUUUUGAUUUAUCGACUAAAACAAUGGACACUAAAAUUAGAUCAUAGUUAGUUGAUAUGAAUUACCUUUAGCAACCAACAUAUGUGCCACAAACAAUUACCAAUAAAAACACUACCUUUUAGUGGCUAUUUAUUUAGAUUUAUCGGCUAAAACAAUGGACGCUAAAAACUCAUAGUUAGUCAUUAUGAAUUACCUUUAGCAGCCAACAUAAUUGCUACAAACAAUUGCCAUAAAAGCUAAUGAUUUGUAGCGGCAAUUCAUGCUACCCUUUACCAGCAUUUCCCACAAUGGUCGGGAAAGCCUUUGCUGACCCCUACAUUACCGGCUAAAGACAAUUCACCGGUAUAGGUUAUCGUGGCAAAUGUUAUUGCCGCUAAAGUCAUGUUUUAUUGCCACUAAAUGACCCUUUUGUAGUAGUGUUUGUAAAGUAUACAGACACAGAAUCUGUACCCUGUUGCAAGGUUGCAAUUUCUUUGUGUAGACUGAAGGUUCUUGAUCCAUCUAAUUGAUCAAACCUUUCUUUUAAGUCAUUCCACACAGCUUGAGCUGAUGAUGCAAAAGCUACUCCUCCUAGCAAACUCUUUGACAUAGAAUUUAGAAGCCAUGAGAGAACAAUGACAUUCACCCUUUCCCACUGAACUCUUAAUUCUGCACUUACAUCUUCUUGUUUACACGAUCCAUCUACCAAACCAUUCUUGUUUCUUCCAAGUAAUGCCAAUCUAAUCGACCUACUCCAUAAAGCAUAGUUCUCAAUUCCAAUAAGCUGGAAUGAAAUCAGAUUAACCCCACUGAUAUCAGCAGGACUCAAGAACAGAGGAUGACUAUAAUCAACCCCUUGACUCAUCGACAUAGCUGGAAUAGAGCUUGGAUUUCCAGAAAUUCCACCAACACUACUGGUUCCAGUUGUCUGUUCACCAGUUACCCCUUGAGUCAUGCUUGUAAUCUUUCUUCUUUUUCAAAUUGAUUUCCGGAAGCUAAACUGAAUUAUCAAGACGAUCAGAAUUCUUUAGACUAUGAUCUUCAGACGUAAUACACAGAGACGAACAAAAUUUUCCAGAUUCUGAUCUUCAGACGUAAUACACAGAUGACUUCUCCAGAUUCUGAUCUUCAGAUGUAAUACACAGAUGACUUCUUUAAAGUUUUAUCACCCUCUUUGAUACCAUGAAGAUAUUCACUAUGAAUUAUAAGAACAAUAGAAUUGGAAAAGAAGAAAGUAUUUGUUAUUUUUCCUUUUAAAGCAGUAGAUAUACAAUGACUAAAUCCUAUGUAUUUAUAUUUUCCUUGCUAACUAACUUACCUAACUUUUUGAUAACUACCUUCUAACUAACUUCUUGAAGUAGUCCUAACUACCUCUAAACACUCUCCUUCUUUUUUAACUAUCUCAUUACAAACACUCUGAGGUUGGAAGAGGGGUGGAUGAAGGCGAGGGGGAUGGGGGAUGGAGGGGGGGGUGUUGAGAGCCGGUCGGAGCUUGGGUUUCGAGAGGAGGUGUGGUGCAGGUAGGAUAGGGACGUAGAGACGAGGGUGAACUAAAGAGAGACAAUCAACUUAGAAUAACACUAAUAUAAAAUUUAUUUUUUCUACUUUUCCAUCAUGUAUACCAUUUUUAGAGAAUAUAAGUCACUUACUUUUUUUUAUAAAAUAUUUUUAGAAAAUUUUGACAAUGAACACAGAAGAGUCACAUGACUAUGUCUAUUGCAAUGCAAUAUAUUAUAUUCAUUUUUGUAUGAUAUAAUAUACCAUUUCCCCACAAGGGCCGUCGACUACUUUGCUAACAAAAAGAUUUUGGUGAUCUUAUAAUGUGUCCAAAAUGGAUAAUGCACCCACAUAAAUACGUACAGUUGAGUAAUAAUGUUUUGUAUUUUUGAAGGUUUGAUUCAGGGCCGGCUCUAUGCUUUGGCAAAUAAGGCUUUUGCCUUUGGGGGUCGCAAAUUUUAUCAAGAAUAAAUUAUGUGUUAAAAUUUCUAUAGAACUAAUUGAUUAUUUAUGAUAAAAAGUUUAAUUUUUUUUAAAUAUAUUAUUUUACCCACUUUAACAUUUUUUAUACUUUGUUAAAAAUAAGAAUUAAUAGUGAAAAGUGUUGAACAAAGUGAAUUGCAAUUUUUUUUUAAUUUCUUUUUUAAUUUUAGUUUCAGGCAUUACUACAACAAUAUUAAAAUGGGUAUACCAAGUGAUCAUCAACUUCUUGCAUCAAAUUCUAUGGUUCUAACUCUUAUCUUUAUUUAAUAUUUGUCAACUUAUUACUUAUAUAAGUAUGUUAACAAUUCAUAUAAUAAUUGCCUCACUGAAAGGAUGUUUUUCAAUGUUGAGUUGAUAAAAUCUUACCUAAAACUAAUUACUGAAAAAACAAUAUCAAAAUACUAAUAAUUUUCAUCUAAAUAAUGUAAGAAAAAUAAAUUUUGAAUAAAUACGUACAUGAAGUUUGUUUAUAUUUUAGGCCCAGAAUCGAAAUUUCGCUUUAGGCCCCCAAUCACGUUGAGCUGCCCUUGGUUUGAUUGGAUUUAAUCAUUGAAAAUUAUUGAGAUUGAUAUUAGUAGGUUCAAUGUCAAAUUUAAUUCCCUGUUCAUCUAUCAGAAACUUUUGGAUAAUAUAUUCUAAAAUUAAAAUACAAUUUUUAUACUAAAAUCACGAUAAUCUGUCCGAUAGAUGUCUUUAUCUGUCGAUCCAAAUUUAAAGAUAUCAAAUUAGACUUUUAUGGAGAUAAAUAUGUAUCAGUUUAAUUUGUUACAUGUAAGUUUAACUUAAAUAUAAUGCAACAAAUUAUAUAUAGUACUUGUAAUGUGUAUGAAUGAAAUCUUCACUAAAUUUCUUCAGCUGCCGACUGAAUAUUGGUCCACACAUUAAUUCCAUAAAUACAUGUUCCCGCUCUAGGGGGGGAUCUAGAGUAUCGGACGUAAAUUUUUAGAAACGUAAUAAUUUUUACAUAAAUCUUAUAUUUAUAUUAAAAAAUCUAUUAAAUAUAUAAAAAAUAUUUCUUCAAAAUCUAAUAAAAAAAUAAAUUCUUAGUUUGAUGGUAGAAAUGAAACCUACUUAACCUUCUUUAUCAUGAUUCGACCCAUACCUCAGACCUAAGAUCGAGCACCAGAGCUGCUCAUAACAACGUACCAAAAAGAAGAAUGCGAGAAGUUCAUAUUCUCCAGAUUCUACUAUAAAUCAGGUAGUGAGGAUGAAAAAAGCAUAAGCUACCUCGUUCGUGCUCCCGUCUUUCCCGCUGCCAUCUUUGGUGGAUGCGCCCCUUCACUUAAAGGCGGCCAAACCAACCCACUGAGCCAACCUUUUAGAUUGAAUAAAGUUACUAAGAUCUUUAAAAAUCCAUAAACUUUAAAUUCUGAAUUUGCUUCUGUCCGCUACAUCCAAAUAAUACUCUCUCUUCAAUCAUUAUAUCCAUUCAAAUCUUUCUAUAAAUAGAACCCAACAAUCUCUCAAUUUCUUCAUCCUUUAAUUAAUUCAAAUAUCAUAAGGGAAACAAAAAAUGGGUUCCAAGGCAUUUCUGAUUCUUGGCCUUUUUCUGGCCAUAUUUGUAAUGAUAAGUUCUGAGGUUUUUGCUAGGGAGUUGGCUGAGACUUCCACCACUACUUCUGAAGAGGAUUGUAAGUAUAUCCAUUCAGUAUAAUAUGCUCAUUUUAUAAGGAAAUUUCACAUAUAUUUUUAUAAUUUAUCUCGAAAAUAUUGAGUUCAGAUGAACAUUCCUUACUUGUGCUUUAGAUGCUAGCUUGACCAAUCAUUCUUACUAAUUGUUCAAUUUUAUAUAAUUAGUUUUACAUUUUGCAUGUAUAUUACGAUAAUAAUAAUAGCAUAUUCAGUAUAAUUUCACAAAGGAUAUGGAGGAGGUGGUAUGUACACAACUAUACUCUUAUCAUGUGAAGAUAGAGAAGUUAAUUAAUUCGAUCAAUUCUCAACUCAAUUAAAACAUAAAGUAGCCCAUGCUGAACCUAAUGAAAUUUUGCAUACAUUUUAUAUAGUAUACUUUAACCUUCUGAACUUUGACGAGAAAUCUCCAUAUAAGUUAUGGAUUACAGAAUUUUAUAAUGCAGAGUUGGUAUUAAACAAAAAUAUUUCCUCCGUUUUAAUUUAUUUAUUUGGUUUUGACGUAUGCAGAUUUUAAAAAAAACUAAAGAGAAUUUUUGAAUCUUAUGAUUUAGAAUUUUUGAAUCUUCCGGUAUUAAACAUACCAAUAAGUAGUUGCCGAAGAAGGAAAGUGUCAUUUUUUUUUAGGCCUAAAAAAAGUAAGACAAAUAAAUCGGAAAUAAUAUUUUUUGAAAAAAAAAAACAAGUUAAGAAUAACAUUCUUGAUUACUUAAUUGAUGCAGCCAAGAAAUCCAGUAACAAAAAUGAAGUACAUGAAGCCGAAUAUGGCGGGUACCCUGGUGAUGGCGAUGGAUACCCUGGCGGCGGCCGUGGUGGUGUUGGUGGCGGAUACCCUGGCGGUGGCCAUGGUGGCGGUGGUGGUGGCCGUGGUGGUGGUGGAUACCCUGGCCAUGGUGGUGGUGGUGGAUACCCUGUCGGUGGUAGUAAAUACUCAGGCAACCGUGGUGGUGGCGGCCGGAAGUGUUGCUCCUAGAUACAAAGGUGAAUAAAUAGUAAUAUAUACUUAUAUCACCUUGUACUAAUUAGUGGCAAGAUGUAGUAGUAAUAUUCUUGCUGCUUUAAAUUUGGAGCUUAUUGUAAGAAUUAUUAUCAUGAAAUAAAAGCCAUCAUGUAAUGUUUGUUAAUUAUGCUAUGGUAUGAUAAUACUUUCCUUUGGUGUUUUACUUAUGGGCGGAAUUCUUAUUUCAUAUUAUUAUAAUUUGUUUCAAUUAACCGUUCACUAUUAUUAUCAAUAUCAAGUAUCAAUAUACAUCAAUAGUGUAAAUUUGCUUAUAUUUUUCUCUUCGAUUUCCGUGGAACUCAUCACACAUUUAUUAUGAAACAUACUUAUAAUGUCCAAAAACUAUGUAAAUUUAGAUUAGGCAAAAUUGAGGGCAUUUAUUAUUCUACGAUUUUCUCAAAUGUUUUGAAUUAUUGAUUAUUGUAGCUCUUUUUUGAAAAACUAAUUAUAGUAGUAUGACUUAUAAUACUUGGUAUUUGGGUCAAAAUAUGUGAUUUUAAAAAAAAAAAUUGGAAAAAUCAAUAUAUGUCUGAAUUCACAAAAAAAAUUCGAAAAUGAUAAUCGAAUUAUAAAAUGAAAUAGGCUUCAUUGUUGGAUUUUAUUAUAAGAAGCAUCACUGUGAAGACAAUCUAGCUACAAACUCUCAUUCCUUGAUAAAAUGAUUAAUUCUCAAACAUUACUAGAAAUUUGCACACCAUUUUUUUAAACCAUAUUUUGCUCCAUAUAUACCUCAUAUUUUGAUAGGAUCAACAAGCAAUAAAAGUAAUUUAUUUUGCUAUGCCAAUAUUUUAUUUAAUAAUAAUUUUAAUUGAGUGAUUUUAUUGAUAGAAAUGUCUAAGUUUAGUGAUUUUAUUGAUACAAAACAAAGUUCAAUGACUUUGUUAGAUAAAUUCUCAAAGUUGGGUGACCUUUUGAGAUAUUAACUCUAUAAUAUGACGACCCUUUCAGUAUAUUGCUUUAGUUAUUGCACUACCGAGAAAUCUAUGAUUUCUAUUCAUAAUUUUAUCAAAUCCGGAGUUAUUCGGACUCCAUUAUAAUAAAAUCAAACCACCGUAAAAUUAAAUACAUAUAGCAUAUACAUAUCAUUUGUAGCCUAAGUAUUUUUUUCAUCUAGUAAUUGUAAGGAGUGAUGCAACUUUGAUUUUACAUGUGUUCAAACUUUUGUAUUGCUCUUUGAUUUCCUUGGUGUCCACAUUGCUUAAUGUCUUAUUAGAACGGGAGCUGUUUAUCCAAUUUUAGACCUUGAGCUACAUGUCAACAAAGGUGGAGUAGAAGGACUUCUGACAUUUACAAAAGUGUUGUAAACCUUGUGAUUAAAGGUACUAUCAAAGGAAAGAAAUGUGUUUUGUAAUAGAAAGUGUCAACAAUGAGCUAACCUAUUGAAAGUUAUGUUGGAAGAGUUUCUUUGAUUUUUGCAGAUAGGAGUGAGCUCAUAGAAAUUUAUAAAUCAAUUCAAUCAUAGAACAAUAUUAAGUAACUAAUUUUACAAGAUCCAAUGAGAAGCAUAGGCUAUAAAGUGAACAUAAUUUUUUUUGUAGAACAUAAUUGUGUUACUUACCUUUCCAAAUUUUGUUCAUAAAUUUUUCCGUAUUCUAAUCAAACGCAUCUUAUAAAUGGACAGUAAUCAAAUGACCAUAUUUGAGAUCACUACAUCAAAAAUAAUCAUUAGCAAAAAUUAAUUUUUAAUUGCCGUUAAAUAUGUAUUUUUAGCGGCAAUUAGCACUCUUUGUAUAUGUCCCUAAAGUCUUUAACGACAUUGGUUCUAAUAGCACUUAACUAAUACCGGUAAAGACUUUAACACUCUUUAUUACUGUCAAUAUUUAUUGCCGCUAAAAGUUAUUUUUGUUGUAGUGGAUACACCCAGUGAAAUUCUUGAAUAUAUAAAGGAAGAAAGUCACUCCAUUCACUCGAGUAUAUAAAAGAAGGAAACUACUCGUAAUUUGAUAACCACAAAUUAAAAUUGAACUUCAUUUUUUGGGCACCUAGAUUUUGAUUCAAAUAUGUAAUAUAUUAUGCUCAAUAUUGUUCUAGUCCAGUUGAAAUCAAUAUUCAAAUUGAAUAAAUUUCAUAAUAUUAUGACGUAGAAAGUCAUAAUAAGCUUGUUUGGAUCAUGCCUUUCCUUGUUGCAUGCUAAAAUCACUAAAUGAUAUAAGACCUCUGACUUUCUUAAAUUAGUGUAUUGUUACAAAUUGGAGUAAUCCUCUCUUAGCAAUUUAGUUUAGGCCACAAGUUUUUGAGACUAAAAAAGACCUGAGAAAUCUUAUGUUUUUGCAAUCGACUUGGCAUUUCAAAAUCAUGUUAGGCAAAGCUUUGUAGUUUAAAGCAAUAUUUUUUAAAAAAAAUAAUAAUAACUUUAUCAAUGAGCUUCAAAAUGCUACAACAGAAAGGACAAUAUCUUUAUUAGCCUUUCUUAAUAUAGUUUAAUUAAUAUUAUUUAUUAUGUCUAAAUGUUAAUAUUUAUCUCAAAAAGUAUGAAUACAGAGCUCAAAUGUUAUGAAUGAAAAUAUGAUUUACUUGAUCUGUUUUCGCCUUCCCUUUCAAUCUUAUCUAAGCUUUGUAACUGAAGGCGUUAUUGUAUGAUCUACUUGUACGAUUUUUACGGCAUAAUAUCUCAUUUAAAACGUAAGAUUAAUGUGUCUACCAAUUCUAGAAAUGUUUAUAGAGAUUUAGGUACGAUAAUAAAAUGAUUAAGCUUCAUCUAUGAAACACGUGUUUUUCGUGAUAUAUCCCUAUUUCUUCUCAUUGAUCUAUUUUCUGUCCUAGCUUUAAGAAAAAAUGCUUUGCAAAAUGGAUGACCUAAUCUGAAAGUUUCCCAUUGAAACUUAAGCCACCAUAGGUAUGAUGUAUUCACAUCCUCUUUCCUUCUUUCUUUCUUAUCAUUUUAAUUGGGGAAAAUACAUAGAAUUCCCCCUGAACUUGGCACGAAAACUUACUUUAGUACUUAAACUACACGAAUGUUUCUUUACCCCCCCCCCCAAUUUAAUUUGAAUUGAAUUUAAUUACCCCUUAAAGAGUGACGUGGCAAAAUUUGUAUCACCAACUUUUCAUAAGCGGGUGAGAAAGGAAAAGACAUCAAAAACUGACACAUAUCAUCUUUUUAUUGGAUAACAUACUUAAUAAUUUAUUUUACUAAUUUUUAAAUAUUUUAUUUUUAAUUAACUUUUCUCUCUCUAUAUUUCUUUUUCUGCAUCUUCUUCUUCAUUUUUUUUUUCCAUUUUUGUUCUUUUUCUAGCAUCUUCUUCUUCUUCUUUUUUUCUCUUCUCAUAACUCUUUCUCUUUUUUAUUCUUUUCAUUUAGUUCAAAUAAACAUUUACUUCCAAAUAUAACUUCUUCCACAUUUUUUCUUCUUCUUUUCUUUUCUAUUUUUAAUCGUUUCUUUCUUCUUCUUUUUUACAAAAUUUUUGGUGUUUGAUUCACCCACCAUUUUUUACAUCAAAGAAGAUUAUUAGAUCUAUCAGUUUAAAUCGUCUUCAGAAUGAAGUUGACUUCCAUUAAAAAAAAAUCGAAGAUAUUGUUGGCAAAAUAUUAACUAUGGAGAUUUCCCCCAAUUCAUUAAUAAUUUUUCAUUUUUAUGCAAAUAUUUUUUUAAAUUUUUGAGGAAGGUGGUAUCGUAUAACUAAACUGAAAAUACAAUUGAAAUUUGAAUUAUAGUUUGUAUAUUGAGGAGUAAAUUCAUUGAUGGGUUUAAUUUUUGGCUCAAUAUUUUUAAAAAACAAUUAUUAUGGAGAUUUAAGCAAUUAAUUAGGAAUUUUGCUAAUGUACACGUGGACGAAUGAAAAACGCGUGUGACUCAACAACACUCAGCCUUCAACUAGGCUGGUGCUGGGAAGUUUGAAAAAAAUCACUUAAAAGAUGUUAAGGGGGUAUAUAAACAUCCGUGUAGUUUAAGUACUAAAGUAAAUUUUCGGACCAAGUUCAGGUGGGUUUUUAUGUAUUUUCCCUUUUAAUUGGCUUUCUUCCACCUAAUUCUUUCAACCAUUCAAAUUUAAUAGUAUUUGUUUUUGUUGUCUUCACACCUUCUUUUCCGAGAUUUAGUUUUACAAACAUAGUAUUUAUUAAUUUAAAUGCAUAAGGUGCAUUAAAUGCCUCAAAUUAGUUGAUAACGAACACAAAAUACAUGAAAAAGACAUAAUACAUGUAGAAAUCAAGAAUAUUUGCUAACAAACAUGUCAAAACUCUAGCACACAUAUUAUACACAUUCACCCCAAUUUCCAACACUCAAUAACAACUAUAAGCAUAAAAAAUUCAUUUGCCAAAACUUUUACAAACACAUAUUAUAUGCCUCAAAAGAGAAGUAGGUUAAGAACAACGUAAGUAGAUAGAAAAAUUCUCCUGAAAACAGAGCGAUAUUCAGCGAGGGAAGAAGAAAGCACUUGUGAAAAUUAAGGAGUAAAUAUCUCAAAGCUCAGUCGAAUUAUGUUGUAAAGUCAUUCAACUUUAUUUUGUAUCAAUGAAAUCAUUGAACUCUUUUAUAAAAUUAGUUGAUCAAAUUUACCAUAAAAAACAUUUUAACAUGAUAAAAUAAAUUAAUUGCUCUCCCACAUAUCUCAAUCUUUUAUAUGUUAUUCUUCUUUUCUGCAAUAAUUACAAAAAAAUUACUCUCCAUUUCAAAAAAUUACAAUCAUGGAUCAAUGAAUUAAGUGUAAGAUAUGAAUUUUUUUUUAAAUUAUUGGUGAAAUUAUUUUUAAAUAUAAUACGAACAAUAUAAUAUGGGAAGAGGAGAAAGUGGAUACCUCAUCACGUUCAGUUUUCAUACGUUCCCUCGAAUGGGUUCGAUUCGCUUCACAAAUUUACUAAAAAGUUCAAAAUUCAUGCCAAUUGUUUUUAACUUGUUCAUGACUUUUAAAUAUUUUAAGAAGUUUCUCGUAAAUAUAUUUUAAAAAAUAAUGAUUUUAUCUUGUAGAAUAAUUUUUAUGGUAAGUUUGAUCGAGUUAUUUUAUAAAAGAAAUAUUCAAAGUUGAGUGAUUUUAUUGAUAUAAAACAAAGUUGAAUAAUUUUACAAUAUAAUUUCUCAAAGUUGAAUGACCUUUUGAGAUAUUUACUCGAAAAUUAAGAGAAAUUUAACGCUUUUGGAAUUAUGAUACUGUAAGGGAAAAAUGGAUCAUUCCAUAGAUAAUAUAAAAAGCAUCUAUGUGUUACACAUAAUACAUGUGUCUUUGUGAUAUGAGUGAGGUAAGCUUAAGAAAAUUACAGAUUUGUCCUUGUUGGUCCUUCCCAACUCCCUACAUAGUACACAUGUCUUUGUGAAAUGAGUGGGGAGUAGUACUUGUUUAAUGAAAUGGCCCCCAAUACAGUACAACUUGUAUUACCUUUGGUACAUCUAUUUGAUGCUAUGUUAGUCCCACUAACUAUAGUACAUGUGUCUUUGUGAUAUGAGUGGGGUAAGCUUAAGAAAAUUACAGAUUUGUCCUUGUUGUUCCUUCCCAACUCCCUACAUAGUACAUGUGUCUUUGUGAAAUGAGUGGGGAGUAGUACUUGUUUAAUGAAGUGGGCUGGUACAACUUAUAUUACCUUUGGUUCAUCUAUUUGAUGUUGUGUUAGUCUCAUCAACUCCCACUUAUAUAUAGGAGUAAUAUUGAAUUUCAAAAUUUUAAUUAUAUCACAUGACACAAAUUUCGGCAGACGAACUAUAACACUGAUAUGCUUCAUCUUUCCGAUGCCCAAAUGGCAAUCACUAUUAAAAAAAAACUCAACGGAUGUUAGUAAUACAAGUAUUUCAAACAUACCAAUAAGUAGUAUUUAUUUGGUAUUAAACAAAAAUAUUUCCUCCGUUUUAAUUUAUUUAUUUGGUUUUGACGUAUGCAGAUUUUAAAAAAAACCAAAGAGAAUUUUUGAAUCUUAUGGUUUAGAAUUUUUGAAUCUUCCGGUAUUAAACAUACCAAUAAGUAGUUGCCGAAGAAGGAAAGUGUCAUUUUUUUUUAGGCCUAAAAAAAGUAAGACAAAUAAAUCGGAAAUAAUAUUUUUUGAAAAAAAAAAACAAGUUAAGAAUAACAUUCUUGAUUACUUAAUUGAUGCAGCCAAGAAAUCCAGUAACAAAAAUGAAGUACAUGAAGCCGAAUAUGGCGGGUACCCUGGUGAUGGCGAUGGAUACCCUGGCGGCGGCCGUGGUGGUGUUGGUGGCGGAUACCCUGGCGGUGGCCAUGGUGGCGGUGGUGGUGGCCGUGGUGGUGGUGGAUACCCUGGCCAUGGUGGUGGUGGUGGAUACCCUGUCGGUGGUAGUAAAUACUCAGGCAACCGUGGUGGUGGCGGCCGGAAGUGUUGCUCCUAGAUACAAAGGUGAAUAAAUAGUAAUAUAUACUUAUAUCACCUUGUACUAAUUAGUGGCAAGAUGUAGUAGUAAUAUUCUUGCUGCUUUAAAUUUGGAGCUUAUUGUAAGAAUUAUUAUCAUGAAAUAAAAGCCAUCAUGUAAUGUUUGUUAAUUAUGCUAUGGUAUGAUAAUACUUUCCUUUGGUGUUUUACUUAUGGGCGGAAUUCUUAUUUCAUAUUAUUAUAAUUUGUUUCAAUUAACCGUUCACUAUUAUUAUCAAUAUCAAGUAUCAAUAUACAUCAAUAGUGUAAAUUUGCUUAUAUUUUUCUCUUCGAUUUCCGUGGAACUCAUCACACAUUUAUUAUGAAACAUACUUAUAAUGUCCAAAAACUAUGUAAAUUUAGAUUAGGCAAAAUUGAGGGCAUUUAUUAUUCUACGAUUUUCUCAAAUGUUUUGAAUUAUUGAUUAUUGUAGCUCUUUUUUGAAAAACUAAUUAUAGUAGUAUGACUUAUAAUACUUGGUAUUUGGGUCAAAAUAUGUGAUUUUAAAAAAAAAAAUUGGAAAAAUCAAUAUAUGUCUGAAUUCACAAAAAAAAUUCGAAAAUGAUAAUCGAAUUAUAAAAUGAAAUAGGCUUCAUUGUUGGAUUUUAUUAUAAGAAGCAUCACUGUGAAGACAAUCUAGCUACAAACUCUCAUUCCUUGAUAAAAUGAUUAAUUCUCAAACAUUACUAGAAAUUUGCACACCAUUUUUUUAAACCAUAUUUUGCUCCAUAUAUACCUCAUAGUUUGAUAGGAUCAACAAGCAAUGAGAUGAGUCUGUCCAUAAAUCCACAAUUAGUACUUAUAAAAUCAUUCUUUUCGAAAGAAAGUGUCAAGUGUGUUGGAUUUAUAGCUUGUUCUACAGCAAACAUUGGUACUUGAGUAGGAUAGAGCAAUUCCGUGUUUAUAUCUUUCCAUGCAUUACUCAUUAUCUUCUGAACCUCGAUAUAUGUCUCUUGCUUUGAAACUACACGUUCUUUCAUAUAACAUUCAAGGAAUGAUGGUAUAUGUGUUCUUUGUUGUUCAAACUGCAUCAAAUAGAUUUUAAUAUGCUCAAUACAAUAAUAUAUUUAAUUUUUAUCAAAUUCAUUUAUUAUCUUACAUGAUGUCCAAUAAUGUCGUCCUUUAAUAGACUUAAUACUGAUGAAGCUUGAAGAACCGAAGAAUCACUUGUUACCCAUUCCAAAGUUUCUUUGGUUAUAAUAAAUUCCUCCAAACAUACCAAGGAAAUUGUUGCAAUCAAUUUGAUGGCAAUGCUUGUAAUUGCAUUUUCCAUAUACUCCUCACAUUUUGGAAAAUAGCAAGCAUUCAACCAUUGUGCUUCCUUGAAAUAUUAUUUCAUCCAUUUUUUCAUCUAUAAAGAAACAAUAUAAAAAGUAAAAUUAGAUAAUAAGCAUACUUUAUCUAGUUUUGGAUUGUAAUUUUGUCACGCUCCGAGCCUACAUCCUGGGCGGGACUGGCACUCGAAGACCAUUGCUGGCCACAAGUGAACCCUUGGUCUGGCUUACUUACUCAGUGGAAGACAAUAUUCAUACUUAAUGAUCAAUAACACUUAACUGAACUAAAUCAUAGGAUAACUGAGAAUGUUAAAAGCUAAACAUUCAACUUGGCCAAAAGUGGCAACCCAAGUCUUAACAAUAAGAAAUGAUAUUGAAAAAACUCAAAGGACUAACAUAUGACUGUCUAUGAAGCCUCUAAUGACCAAUGAGAUGGAUGUUGGGACAGACCCCACAACAUCCUAAUUAACUAAACUAGAAAGCAAUGAAAUGGAUGCUCCGGAAAGCAAGGAGGCUUACCAACAGACUCUGGACUGCUCACUGGAUCAACGAUGCACCGGAAUGUCGAUCCUAGUUACAUGUGUCUGCAUCAUAAUACGAUGCAGGCCAACUGACAUCAGUACAUUGAAUGUACGAGUAUGCGAGUUGGAAUGCUAAAAUAACAUAGGCAUGAAAGAAUUUGAGAGAAACUGAAGAACUUACCUAGCUCAACUCAACUCAACAUGACAGAAUUCAUUUCAAUAUAAAGCAGUUCAAAAGCAAGUGCAAUAUAAAGAAAAGUUGUUUAAAAACAUGAUAUCAACUCUGUGUGUAUACAAGAUACAAAUAACUCUGAAAUGUAUUUAAAAAUACAAUGAACUGAUGUAUAUAAAAAUACAAGAACUUAUGUGGGAGUUUCUCUAACCGACAACCAUCACUUAAGAGCUAUAGUGAUGAUACAACGAUCUNNNNNNNNNNNNNNNNNNNNNNNNNNNNNNNNNNNNNNNNNNNNNNNNNNNNNNNNNNNNNNNNNNNNNNNNNNNNNNNNNNNNNNNNNNNNNNNNNNNNNNNNNNNNNNNNNNNNNNNNNNNNNNNNNNNNNNNNNNNNNNNNNNNNNNNNNNNNNNNNNNNNNNNNNNNNNNNNNNNNNNNNNNNNNNNNNNNNNNNNNNNNNNNNNNNNNNNNNNNNNNNNNNNNNNNNNNNNNNNNNNNNNNNNNNNNNNNNNNNNNNNNNNNNNNNNNNNNNNNNNNNNNNNNNNNNNNNNNNNNNNNNNNNNNNNNNNNNNNNNNNNNNNNNNNNNNNNNNNNNNNNNNNNNNNNNNNNNNNNNNNNNNNNNNNNNNNNNNNNNNNNNNNNNNNNNNNNNNNNNNNNNNNNNNNNNNNNNNNNNNNNNNNNNNNNNNNNNNNNNNNNNNNNNNNNNNNNNNNNNNNNNNNNNNNNNNNNNNNNNNNNNNNNNNNNNNNNNNNNNNNNNNNNNNNNNNNNNNNNNAAAUCCUAGAUUCCCCUUUUACUGAUUUAAACGUAGAUGUAGGGCGUGAGUAUAAACUAGUCCAACACUAUGAUAGCCUUACAUACUUGAAUAAAACAAGGUUCUUGAAGAAUCUUGAAGAAGAACUUGAUUAGAAGCCUUGAAACCCUAGCUUGAAGGUAAACAAUCAAGAAGACCUUUCUUGAGAUUCUCGAGUUAGUUUCUUAAAAUCUCUAUAGCCAAAAAUUAUGAUUUUCAUGAGUGAAGAUGAAAAUCUGAUUGUUUUGAGCUUUUUAUUAGUUCAAGAAAUUCGUUGAUGGUUUUCUUGGAGGUAAAAAGACAAAAACGAUUAUUUUCAAUAUUUUCCCGUCGGCUAAUUCGUAACAGCACUGUAUAGGUUACUAAAAUAGUCAUAACUUUUUACUCAGAUAUUGGAUUGACAUGAAACUAGUGGGGUUAGAAAGUAGAUUCAAUUACCUUUAAUUGGAUAGGUUAUGACUCACGUAACUCUUAAUAUUCUAAGAGAUACGGUCGUUUAAAGUUGACCUAAGCAAAAUUUUACUUCAAAACUUAAUGAAACUUCAAGAACACUUAUCAAGAACUCAUCAAGAACUCUAAUCUUUAAAUUUCAUGAACGAAAUUACGCUAAAUAAAUCAUGAUUGGUGUGUGGGUGAAAGAACCCAACACUAUGGAAGCUUACAUACCUUAAUGGAUUGAAUCCUCGGCGAAAUUCCCAAGCAAUUCCUUACGACGACGAAGAAUCUAGCUUUUUCCUCCUUUUCUCUUUUCUUGCGUUCCUCCUCCAAAACCCUAGCUCUAUUUGGUAAAUGUCUAAAUUGAUCUAAUUCAGUUUAGACCCCUUAUUAAUUACCAAAAACGAUUUAAAAUAAGGGUAAGGAAAAGACCAAACUACCCUUUAAAAUCCGGAUUGGACAUUUCCUUAAUCCAACAGCCCAAUUUCCAAAGGGCAUAUCUUACUCCUACGAAAUCGGAAUCGCGCAAACUUGGCGGCGUUGGAAAGAUAGUUCCAAGAACUUUCCAACCAUAUCUAUAAUUACUCCUAACUCAUCCUGAGCUAGGAGUUAUGAUCAUUUGAAAAUGACAAAAACUCAACUUUUCUUGCUUACAAUUUUCCAGAUUUCCCUUGAACGUUCCAAAAACGAAAAUUUCCAGAUUUAAACUACAUUCUAAUUAUUUCUAGAUGCGGGAUGUUACAGAUUUCACUAAUUAUCACAUGACUUUUGUUUUAUCGUGUACCAAAUUCACUAAAUUAUUUUUCCAUGGUAAUUAUAUUUUCUUCAUACGUUCACACCGACAAGUAAAAGUGAAAAUGUAUUUUUGAAACACUGGACAAAUAAAAAUGAAUAGAGUGAGAGUAAUUAUUUUACAUAGAUUAAUUAAUGAGGAUGAGUUAUCAAGCAAGCUUAAUUACCUCAACUUUUGCAUAGUAGGCCCGGUCUGCUUUACCUUCUUUUUUCAAUUCAUCUUCUAUUUCAUUUAUAAUUUGCUAUUUCAUACAAUUUUUCCUAAUAAUAUACCACAGAAUUUAACAUGGGCCGGGUUCAAACUCUUAUUAUAAUAAUGUUUUUUUAAUGCGUCAUAAUUCAAUAUCAACAUUAAUUUAGGAGAUUUAUGAAAUUAUUUUAUCGCGGAAUUGAAUCCACUAUGACCAUAGUUUGUAUUAUCGAUCAUAGAAAUUAUCACAAAACAAAUUAAUCCUUUGAUUUCUCCAUACACUCAUAUUGUGUGUAUAUUUACUUUUAUAUGUAUACCAUAAAUAUAAAUAAGAGGACGCUAGUUAAUAUAUGCUAACGAGCUAAUUAACAGUAGUACUCUUAUGAAUAAAUCCGACUCAAUAAUAAUUUUCGAGUUUAGUGGUUGGUUGGUUGGUGAGCAUAAUUAAUUAAUACAUUUUUUUGUGAUAAGCAGAACUAACAAACAAGACGUUUUGUCAACACAAUUGGUAAGUGUCUGUUUGACAUUUUCCACAAGCAUUUAUUCGUCGGCAUUAAUAAAACUGUAUGUAUGUGGCUAUUAGAGCCUGUUAUCUUUUCAUAUAUAUAUAUAUAUAUACUAGAUAAUGUUGCCCGUGCUAUGCACGGGACCAAUAAUAUAAAUGGUGUGUUUUGGGGCUAAUAAUCGAGUUUUUGAAGCAAUUGUUUGCGUGGAUAAAGGAAUAAAUUUUUUUAUCACAAACCUGUACUUUCUUUGACGCUAUUUAAGGCAUAAUAAGACAACCCACAUACAACAUUUUUGAAAUAUUUUAUGUUGUCAAUUAUCAUGAUUUAUAGUAUUUUUACGAUAGAUUCACUUCAAGAAUCAGUGGAAUUUUUUGUAUUUUUUUUCAAAACAUAUUUUAUAUUGUCAAUUAUCAUGAUUUAUAGUAUUUUUACGAUAGAUUCACUUCAAGAAUCAGUGGAAUUUUUUGUAUUUUUUUUCAAAACAUAUUUUAUAUUGUCAAUUAUCAUGAUUUAUAGUAUUUUUACGAUAGAUUCACUUCAAGAAUCAGUGGAAUUUUUUGUAUUUUUUUUCAAAACAUAUUUUAUAUUGUCAAUUAUCAUGAUUUAUAGUAUUUUUACGAUAGAUUCACUUCAAGAAUCAGUGGAAUUUUUUGUAUUUUUUUUCAAAACAUAUUUUAUAUUGUCAAUUAUCAUGAUUUAUAGUAUUUUUACGAUAGAUUCACUUCAAGAAUCAGUGGAAUUUUUUGUAUUUUUUUUCAAAACAUAUUUUAUAUUGUCAAUUAUCAUGAUUUAUAGUAUUUUUACGCAAUUUUUAAAUAUAAAAAAAAAUAAGACAAAUAAAUUAAAAUGGACCCAAUAUAUGUUAUUUUUGUUGUGAAAUUUGGAGAGUCGUCCAAAUUUUCAUAUAUUUUUUAAAAAUGUUUUAAGUUAUUAAUUAUUGUGAUUUAUAAUAUUUUUAUGUAACUUUUAAAUAACGUACAUUACUGGUCACUUUGUCCUAAUUUAUGUGAUAUGGAUAAAAUUACAAAAUUAACCCUUUUAAAAUGUCUUUCAGAUAUUUUAAGUUGUUAAUUAUUAUUAUUUAUAAUACUUUUUUGGUAAUUUUAAAAUGAUAUGUGUUAUUUUUUCUGUCCCAAUAUAUGUGAGCCUGAUAGAAUUCUGAGAGUCAACGUAUUUUAUUAUAUAGCUUUUUAAAAUAUUUUAAAAUUGGUAAUUAUUGUAAUUUUUAAUGCUUUUUAAGUCAUUUGUAAAUGAUAUAUGUGCCAGAUCAGUCGAUUUUUUUAUAUGUUUUCUUAAAAAUAUAUUUGAAGUUAUUAAAUUGUUGUGAUUUAUAGUAUUUUUGCGUUAGUUUUGAAUAAUAUAGGUUACUCAUAUUUCAAUUCACGUGAAUAAUAAUAAAUAUUUUCAGUUGUUAAUUUAUUGUGAAUUCUAGAAAUUUUGACGUUAUUUUCAAAUAGUACAUGUUACUUAUUCUAUUCCAAUUAGUCAACCAAAUUCCAUAUAUGAUUUAAAAAUAUUUUUAAUUGCUAAUUAUUGUGAUUUAUAGCAUCUUUUAUGUAACUUUUAAUAAUAUAUAAUUUGUUCAAAUUCAUAUGACAAUGAUAAGAUUUCAAGAGUCAACGCAAUAAAAAUUUAAAUUUUUUAAAAAGUUGUACCUCUAAUAUAUUUUGUAGCUAAAAUAUACUCUCUCCGUCCACUUGUAUUUGUCAUGUUGCGCUUUUUGAAAGUCCAUUUGACUAAUUUUCAAAGUUAAAUCAGAUUGUAUUAAUGUAUUUUUAGAAAAAAAUUUAAAUAUGCAAAAUCUAUACAAAAAGUACUAUAAAUCGUAAUUUUUUGCCUAUGAUUAUGAUGAAAAAACACAUUGUAAAAUAUUAGUUAAAAUUCUUAUAGUUUGACUCUAAAAAGGAAAUCAUAACAAUUAAAAGUGCAUAGAGAGAGUAAUAAAUAGGUAAUUAAAUUUCAAGAAGUUUAAAAUAAAAGGUUGAAAAAAAGAAUUAGAUAGACAACAUUUAUUGAAAAUUGAAAACAUAUAAAUAAUAAAUGGGCCCAAAUGAGGUCAAACUUUUUGGCUUAAAUUGUCCAAUAAUAUAAAUUUUAAAGGUACAACCAUAAAAGAAGAAUGUACAACACUAGCAAGCACAUAUCAUCCAACAUUUGUCAUGUGCUAAGUAGUAGUUAUCCCCACUUAUUAUAUAUAAUAAUAUAUAUACAUAAUUUUAUGUUAAAAAUAUGUUUGAUACGAUAAAAAAAUAUUAUUUCAAAAAUAUUUAUAAUAUAAUCAGACAAACACUCUGAGGUUGGAAGAGGGAUGGAUGAAGGCGAGGGGGAUGGGGGGGGGGGGUGUUGAGAGCCUGUCGGAGCAUGGGUUUCGAGAGGAGGUGUGGUGCAUGGUAGGAUAGGGACGUAGAGACGAGGGUGAACUAGAGAGACAAUCAAGUUAGAAUAACACUAAUGUAAAAUUUAUUUUUUCCAUCAUGUAUACCAUUUUUAGAGAAUACAAGUCACUUACUUUUUUUUAAUAAAAUAUUUUUAGAAAAUUUUGACAAUGAAGAAACACAAAAGAGUCACAUGACUAUGUUUAUUUCAAUGCAAUAUAUUAUAUUCAUUUUUGUAUGAUAUAAAUCCAAUAAAACAUCAACAUUUAAUAUACCAUUUCCCCACAAGAGCCGUCGACUACUUUGCUAACAAAAAGAUUUUGGUGAUCUUAUAAUGUGUCCAAAAUGGAUAAUGAACCCACAUAAAUUCGUAUAGGGGUGUGCAAAAAUCGAUUUAACCAAUAAACUGAACCAAAAAAAACA